CCCGCACAAGCGGUGGAGUAUGUGGUUUAAUUCGAUGCAACGCGAAGAACCUUACCUAGGUUUGACAUCCGGAAGACCUUCCCGAAAAGGAAGGGUGCCCUUCGGGGAAUUCCGAGACAGGUGCCGCAUGGCUGUCGUCAGCUCGUGCCGUGAGGUGUUGGGUUAAGUCCCGCAACGAGCGCAACCCCUAUUGCCAGUUGCUACCAGGUAAUGCUGGGCACUCUGGUGAGACUGCCCCGGUUAACGGGGAGGAAGUGGGACGACGUCAAGUCAUCAUGGCCCUUACGCCUAGGGCUACACACGUACUACAAUGGCGCAUACAAAGGGCAGCGAUACCGCGAGGUGGAGCCAAUCCCAAAAAGUGCGUCCCAGUCCGGAUUGCAGUCUGCAACUCGACUGCAUGAAGUUGGAAUCGCUAGUAAUUCGAGAUCAGCAUGCUCGGGUGAAUGCGUUCCCGGGCCUU
rnacentral:rRNA from 1 species